CAGGUUUGAAUAAAUCUGCCCUAAUAUGUUUGACACAUACAGAUAAGGUCCAUGGCAGCUUGUGGCUUCAACUGGAUUUGCACUGGCUAGAUUUGAAUGUUGAGUCAAAGGGAUCCCUUGGUUUCACUCUCAAGCCCCAGAUGGAGGUAUGAAAAUUACUCCAGAAAGAUCCCCCAUUUGUGGUACCCAGAAUGGUACCAGUUGGCAGCUCAACACAGCUGUGAUGACAUGACAGAAACAAGACCAGGCAUAAAGCAUAGAGGAGGACAAGAAAGACCAUACGUGAAGCAUGAAUAAGACAAGAAGGACUAAAUGCAAAGCAUGGAACAGGAUAAUGGGCAACAGGAACUGACCAGGAGCUGGAAACAGAAACACAGACAUCAGGAACAGACAACGCUGAGAAGUCAUUUUACAUUGCUGUUUUCGUGUAAUUCAGAGUAAGUUAUAGAUGUGAUACAAGCUCCAUUGGCAAAGAAGAGAAAGAUAACUUUCCAACUUAAACGAGUAACCUGUGGACAAUACAUCAUGAUGAUUAAAAGCAGUGUAAUUGUUAUCUACAGUGCAGCACGAGAAAAACCAUUUAGCAAGGAAUACGAGACAUCGAAUUGCUG